CCUACGGGUGGCAGCAGUGGGGAAUAUUGGGCAAUGGGCGCAAGCCUGACCCAGCAACGCCGCGUGAAGGAAGAAGGCUUUCGGGUUGUAAACUUCUUUUGUCAGGGAAGAGUAGAAGACGGUACCUGCCGAAUAAGCCACGGCUAACUACGUGCCAGCAGCCGAGGUAAUACGUAGGUGGCAAGCGUUGUCCGGAUUUACUGGGUGUAAAGGGCGUGUAGCCGGGUUGACAAGUCAGAUGUGAAAUCUUGCGGCUUAACCGAAGAACUGCAUUUGACACUGUUGAUCUUGAGUACUGGUGAGGCAGACGGAAUUCCUGGUGUAGCGGUGAAAGGCGUAGAUAUUAGGAGGAACACCAGUGGCGAAGGCGGUCUGCUGGACAGCAACUGACGGUGAGGCGCGAAAGCGUGGGGAGCAAACAGGAUUAGAUACCCUUGUAGUC
rnacentral:rRNA from 1 species